AGAGUUUGAUCAUGGCUCAGAACGAACGCUGGCGGCAUGCCUAACACAUGCAAGUCGAACGAAGGCUUCGGCCUUAGUGGCGCACGGGUGCGUAACGCGUGGGAAUCUGCCCUUGGGUACGGAAUAACAGUUAGAAAUGACUGCUAAUACCGUAUAAUGACUUCGGUCCAAAGAUUUAUCGCCCAGGGAUGAGCCCGCGUCGGAUUAGCUAGUUGGUGAGGUAAAGGCUCACCAAGGCGACGAUCCGUAGCUGGUCUGAGAGGAUGAUCAGCCACACUGGGACUGAGACACGGCCCAGACUCCUACGGGAGGCAGCAGUGGGGAAUUUUGGACAAUGGGGGCAACCCUGAUCCAGCCAUGCCGCGUGCGGGAAGAAGGCCUUCGGGUUGUAAACCGCUUUUAGUCGGGAAGAAAAGGCCAGACCGAAUAAGUCUGGUUCUUGACGGUACCGGCGGAAUAAGCACCGGCUAACUACGUGCCAGCAGCGGCGGUAAUAC
rnacentral:rRNA from 1 species